rnacentral:rRNA from 1 species
CCUACGGGGGGCAGCAGUAGGGAAUCUUCCACAAUGGGCGAAAGCCUGAUGGAGCAACGCCGCGUGGGUGAAGAAGGUCUUCGGAUCGUAAAACCCUGUUGUUAGAGAAGAAAGUGCGUGAGAGUAACUGUUCACGUUUCGACGGUAUCUAACCAGAAAGCCACGGCUAACUACGUGCCAGCAGCCGCGGUAAUACGUAGGUGGCAAGCGUUAUCCGGAUUUAUUGGGCGUAAAGGGAACGCAGGCGGUCUUUUAAGUCUGAUGUGAAAGCCUUCGGCUUAACCGGAGUAGUGCAUUGGAAACUGGGAGACUAGAGUGGAGAAGAGGAGAGUGGAACUCCAUGUGUAGCGGUGAAAUGCGUAGAUAUAUGGAAGAACACCAGGGGCGAAGGCGGCUCUCUGGUCUGUAACUGACGCUGAGGUUCGAAAGCGUGGGUAGCAAACAGGAUUAGAUACCCGAGUAGUC